rfam:Asian citrus Psyllid, Diaphorina citri - Florida Strain, whole genome shotgun sequence.
GCCUUGGUAGGUAGUGGUCAAGACGCUCGCCUGGUGAACGGGGGGCGUGGGUUUGAUCCCACCCAAGGUA